rnacentral:lncRNA from 13 species
AUGGCUGAAUCCCAGAAAGCUGACCAUUCAGAGCAUAAAGGCGAGACAGAGCAGCCAUCUCAGGCUGGAGCAUCAAUGGAUUCAGUGGACCCUGGAGCCUCACACAGCAAUACAGCCUCGGCAGAUGGGAACAAUGGGGAUGAUGCUACCAAUGCAGUCAGUGCAUGUUUCUCCUCAAUUAUAGACAGGGCAGGGGAUACUGGUAAUUCAGGACAUGCGAGGGAAACCGAUGCAGAGGAUUCACAGAUGGUGGAAGAAACAGUAAAAACAGAUGCCUUGCUGACUGUGGUAGAAAUGGACAGUAAAGAGGAUUCACAGACUGAAAGAGAAACAGCCAGUGUGGAUGUUCCACAGAUGGAAAGAGAAACAGCCAGUGUGGAUGUUCCACAGACGGACA